UUGGAGGGCAAGUCUGGUGCCAGCAGCCGCGGUAAUUCCAGCUCCAAUAGCGUAUAUUAAAGUUGUUGCAGUUAAAAAGCUCGUAGUUGAAUUUCGGGGUUCUACCGUUGGUCGGGCUUUGUCUGUACUGGUGUGUAGAAUUUCUACCUUCUGGGGAACCAUCAUGCUAUUAAUUUAGCGUGGUGGGAAACCAGGACCUUUACCUUGAAAAAAUUAGUGUGUUCAAAGCAGGCUUAUGUCUGAAUACAUUAGCGUGGAAUAAUAGAAUAGGACGGUGGUCCUGUUUUGUUGGUUUCUGAAUCACCGUAAUGAUUAAUAGGGAUAGUUGGGGGCAUUAGUAUUCAAUUGUCAGAGGUGAAAUUCUUGGAUUUAUUGAAGACUAACUACUGCGAAAGCAUUUGCCAAGGAUGUUUUCAUUAAUCAAGAACGAAAGUUAGGGGAUCGAAGACGAUCAGAUACCGUCGUAGUCUUAACCAUAAACUAUGCCGACUAGGGAUCGGACGAUGUUAAUUUUUCUUGACUCGUUCGGCGCCUUACGGGAAAC
rnacentral:rRNA from 1 species